rnacentral:tRNA from 1 species
GGAGAGGUGUCCGAGUUGGCCGAAGGAGCACGACUGGAAAUCGUGUAAGGGGGCAAAACCUCCUUCGAGGGUUCGAAUCCCUCCCUCUCCGCCA